GCUAGCGUAGCUUAAUUCAAAGCAUGGCACUGAAGAUGCCAAGAUGGGUCCUGAAAAACCCCGCGUGCA
rnacentral:tRNA from 1 species